GACAGAGGGUGCAAACGUUGUUCGGAGUUACUGGGCGUAAAGCGCGUGUAGGCGGUAAGGCAAGUCGGGUGUGAAAGCCCUGGGCUCAACCCAGGAAGUGCAUUCGAUACUGCCAAACUAGAGUCCCGGAGAGGAUGGUGGAACUCUCGGUGUAGAGGUGAAAUUCGUAGAUAUCGAGAAGAACACCGGUGGCGAAGGCGGCCAUCUGGACGGUGACUGACGCUGAGACGCGAAAGCGUGGGGAGCAAACAGG
rnacentral:rRNA from 1 species